rnacentral:rRNA from 1 species
UACGUAGGGGGCAAGCGUUGUCCGGAAUUAUUGGGCGUAAAGAGCGCGUAGGCGGUCCGGUAAGUCCGCUGUGAAAGCCCAGGGCUCAACCCUGGAAUGCCGGUGGAUACUGCCGGGCUAGAGUCCGGAAGAGGCGAGUGGAAUUCCUGGUGUAGCGGUGAAAUGCGCAGAUAUCAGGAGGAACACCGAUGGCGAAGGCAGCUCGCUGGGACGGUACUGACGCUGAGACGCGAAAGCGUGGGGAGCAAACAGG